GCCAUUUAUCCAAUAAUAUUUAUUUUGUCUUUUAUUUUUGGCUUGUCUUUUAUUUUGGGGUCUUUCUUUCUUUCCUUUUUUGACAGAGUCUCACUAUGUUGUACAGGCGGGCCUCAAACUCCCAGCGAUCUUCCUGCUUCAGCCUCCCAUGUGCUGGGAUUACAAGUGUGUACCCCACACCCAGCAGGUAGAGGACUUGUCUUUUUGAAUGAUAUUGUUAGGGUAAAUCUGAUCAGUAGGUCCAGAGAGGAUGCAUUCAUGGACAACGGUCACUAGCAGCAUUCUCCCACCACCCUUCAAGGAAAUGAAACUUCAGAUCCAGAAUGAAGUGACUUCCUCUCAGCCUUCCAGAACCUGGCCCUCAGUGGGGCUGACGCCAUGGCACCCACGGUUGGGACAGACUGUCAGACAUGAGCCAGGGUCUUCUCUGGGCCUGAGCCACAGGAGUUUCUGUCUGCACCUAACACGUCUGUGUCUCUUGCCAGAGUCGCUUGCACUGGGCCUCUGUACAGAGUAAAUUCCCGACCAAGUCUCCUAAGUGUUUUCUCCCACAACAGAAACCCUUCGGAUUCUUUAUGACUUUGGGUUUUCCGAAUCCUUCUUCCCCAGCUGAUCUGAGGUCAACUUGAAAAACUCUGACCUUCACGAACAGGUCUUUAAAACGUGUUCCCAGUUUUUGGUAGAGGAAAUUUGCUUAAAGUCUUAGAAAACCAAACCAAACCAAACCAAGCACAAUGGCUAUUUUAUUCUUAUUGAGUUGAGCCAGGAAUGGAUAUCAGGAAUGUAUAUGCUGGAGGGCAGGAGGCUGUGCUGGCAAUAGAGUAUGGUGGCUUGGAGGAUGGGAGGCAGGGAGCUAGUGUGUGCUGGUGUGUGACAGUGUUGGGUGGGGCAUAUGGGAGAGUGGAAGGGUGGUGAACGGGAGAGAAGAGGAUGUGCCAGUGAAAAGACAGGGACAUUUAAAAGAAUCAUUUUUAGGGGUAAGAAAAUUUAGGCAUCAAGAAAUAUACAGUUUCCUGAGACAGUCUUGCCAAUUGCUUCCCUCUAGCAAAAUCUGAUCCCUUAUAUUACUAGUUGGUUUUGUCACAUCAUGUAAUCUCGGUGAUACAGUGCUCACUGAGUAGAUGAAAACAUUACACAAAGACAGGUUUAAGGACUUCUGCAAUAAACACUGAAUUAAUUUUGUAGGGCUGCCGUAACAAAAUAUCACAGGCUGGAUGCUUAAACAACAGAAAUUUAUUUGCUUAUAGUUAUGGAGGCCAGAAGUCCAAUAUCAAGGUGUCAGCAGGCUUGUUUCUUCUGCGGCCCCUCUCUGUGGCUUGUAGAUGGCCACCUUCUUGGCGAGUCCUUAUGUACCCUGCACAUGUCUGGUGUCUCUGUAUCGAGAUUUCCUCUUUUUUUUUCUUUUUUUUGCUAAUGGCAAAAUUUAUUUCUUACCUAGGGUCUUUAUAGCAGUUCCAAGGUCACACAUAAAAGCAUGAUCACAGCGGUUUGACGAUUGAUAGCAGUCACAAGGAGGCAUGAGUAAGAUAAAGGGCAAUCACAAGAAGCUACAGAUUCCUCUUAUUAGAAGAAUACCAGUCCUACUGACUUAGAGUCCACCCCGAGAACUUAUUUCAAAUUAAGCAUCUCUUCAAAGCCCUUAUCUCUAAAUUUAGCUAAACUGUGAGGUGCUGGAGGUUAGGACUUCAACAGGUAAAUUUUAAGGGGAUAGAAUUUAGGUCAUAACAAUGUUUAGGGAUUUUAUGGGUUAUUUUAUUUUUUUCUCCUGACCUCCCUUCAACCCCUCCACCCCUUUCUAUUUAUGAAGACUUUGUUUGCAUUUUUUAAUUUUCUCAUAUUAAUUCCAUUCCCUCUUUCCUUCCUCUACCCCUCCUACUUCCUCUUCCCCUUUUCCC
rnacentral:lncRNA from 1 species